rnacentral:rRNA from 1 species
AUUGAACGCUGGCGGCAGGCCUAACACAUGCAAGUCGAGCGGUUGAAGGGAGCUUGCUCCCUGAUUCAGCGGCGGACGGGUGAGUAAUGCCUAGGAAUCUGCCUAUUAGUGGGGGACAACGUUUCGAAAGGAACGCUAAUACCGCAUACGUCCUACGGGAGAAAGCAGGGGACCUUCGGGCCUUGCGCUAAUAGAUGAGCCUAGGUCGGAUUAGCUUGUUGGUGAGGUAAUGGCUCACCAAGGCGACGAUCCGUAACUGGUCUGAGAGGAUGAUCAGUCACACUGGGACUGAGACACGGUCCAGACUCCUACGGGAGGCAGCAGUGGGGAAUAUUGGGCAAUGGGCGAAAGCCUGAUCCAGCCAUGCCGCGUGUGUGAAGAAGGUCUUCGGAUUGUAAAGCACUUUAAGUUGGGAGGAAGGGUUGUAGAUUAAUACUCUGCAAUUUUGACGUUACCGACAGAAUAAGCACCGGCUAACUCUGUGCCAGCCGCCGCCGUAA